rnacentral:lncRNA from 1 species
AGGGGGGGGGGGGGGCGCAAAAAGAAAACAGAGAUUGCAUUGGGAAGUUUUCAAGAUCUGCAAAUGCCUCCUUGCCCUUACGUCACUGAGUAAUUCCCUUGGGGUUUCUCACUGUAAAACAUCGGAAUUUUGUCAACUUAUUCACAGACAAUUUUAAAUUAUUUAUAGGGUAUCAUGCGGUCCCGAAUUCACGAUCUAUCUAAAUGCUUUUUAGUAACAGUAUAAAAAUAACACAUUAAUUCAAUUAGAUGCGUGAAGAGAGCGAAAAAGGCAAAAUAUUUGUUUUCUAAAGAGAGAUUAAUUGACUUCAAUAGAGAAGUUUAGUAAUGGCUAUGAAAUGAGUUAUAUGCAAAAGACAAAUGAUUUUUUUUAAUUAAGGAUAUUAUUGAGAUUUCUGAAGAUUUAUACAGUAAAAUACGAUUUUGUAAUUUAAUAGAGAGUUUGUAAAGUAAAAAUAGGUUUAAUGAGUAAUCUUAUGAGUUUAAAUAAGCGCACUCAACUUCAUUUUCUAACUUACAAAUCUAUCCGCUAAUUAAUUACACUAAAAGAAAAAAAAUAAUUCAAAUUAAACAGAUUAGCCUCAGUACACUCUUUAGUAUUACAUAAACCGAUAUGUUCCAAUAUAAUGAUGGACUGAAUUCAAUAUUGUUACCGCCUUUUUGUUAUUGUGGUUAGAAAUUUUAUGCUACAACAUUAAAUAAAAUAUUGCGUAAACACUAAACACAUACGACUCCAGGUUGAAAGUUGAGUUGGCACUAUAAACAUUCAUUAAUUUCUUUAUUAUUUUUAUCAAAUCAUUAAUAUUUUUUUUAUGCUUAAAAGCUGCAGGCAAAUUAAACCUUUCUGAAAAAGACAAACGAUUAUAGUAUUAUACUCCUAUAGAAGAUUUUUUUUGCUCCAAUUUCUCUUGAGAACAAUAACAUAUCGUUCUCAUUUAUAACAUAGUUAUUGUCAUCUUUUAAGACCAACCUUGAGAUCCCUUCCGAGCUCGAUCACGGUUGUAAACAAACCCACGGUUAAUAAAGGGUUCCAUUCCAUCGAGGCCGUUGAGCUUGAGCUGUAAGCAAUAUUUGUCUGUCUACCUGAAAUUGGGAUCGAAGUUCACUGAUUUCAAGGCUCUAGCUAUGGCCAAUGGAGGUGGUGUAACUAAGGAAUAUGCCCCCUAAAACCAAUUUUGAUCAAAUCAUAAUGCUACAGUAGGAGAAACAGUAACCCCCCAACAAAAAAAAAAAAUUCGACUGAAAUAUUUUAAAAGUUAUGAAAUGUAUGAAACUAUUGAUAAUUUAUACAAAAUGUAACAGAAAAUGUGUGUGGAUACAUACACGCAGAUUCGCACUGGAAACAUUAAGAUCAACUUUUAACUCACCAUGCCCAAACCUAACUUGUACAAGGUCUUUCUGUGAACCGGCAGAAGCACCCUCUAUGACACAUUGAAACUAUUGCUUACAUGCAGGUAAGAAGUUAGCAGUCACGCCCUGAGUCACCCUUAAGUCGUUGGUAUAUGUCACUCCGUAAAAUCUCCGCAUAUUCCUGCAAUAUUAAACCCCCCAAAAAGAGAGAAAUCUUAAGAUCUGAACAAUAUAAUAAUCAUCAAGCUUCAAAAGUAGAACAUAAUUGCUGUUAGGGAGCAUCACAAACCACAGUGGCAUGGUACUUACCUCUGCAAGAUCCUCAUCACUGCAUAACUCACUUACAAGAUCUUCGCGGCCGCUUCCAUUGCAAUGAAGCUGGCCAGCAUUUUGGACAACGGCUCGGAAGACCUCUCCAGGUGGAUCCAAGUGCUCAAUCCUCUGAACCACUUGUUGGAUUCCUAUCUGGAAGACAAUUAAAUAAAUCAGGAAAUAGUUACUAACACUGAUUGAUAAAGCAAAGUCCUUAUCAACACAUAUGGUAAUAAGGCAAUAAAAGUAAUCAGUAAUACAGUUUCCUUCCAGCAUCUAUAUGCAUAUGCCCAAGAAAUUUCUCGUAUGUUACAGGAUAUAAAACAAUAGAGUUUCAUCAACACUCGUAUAACUACACCCGGGUAUCGCAAAUUGAAUAACACAAGAACGGUUAAACACAAAGGAAACAGCCUUUUGAGUUAGUAGCCCGAAUCGAUUUUAGCAGAGUCAAAAAUCAAAACCAUCCUGUAAAACAUGAGAUUUUAACACUUAAUUCAGUUUACUAACUUCCCAGGUUCUUUACUAUUUUGUCUUUUCAGAACGUGUACAAACCUGAAUUGGAUCAUCAGGGUUGUCCACCCCACUUGACCUCCUCUCACUACACUGAGGUGUGCCAGAAAGGGGUUGAGGCGUAGAUCCACGACCUAGAGCUUGAGAAACAACAGGCAUCAUCUGUUGGACCAUUCUUGACAAGUCAAUACCACCAGCCCAACCACCCCCUAACCCUGAAAACAUGUUUCCCACAUCCUGGGUGUCAAUCUGCUGAGCAAUUUGAUUCACAGUAUUCAAGACUUGCGGGCUCUGAGUGAGCUGCUGCAACAUAUUUCUCAAUACAUCCGGAGAACCAAUCCCAGUUUGCUGUGAAAACCCUGACAAUAGACCAUUCAACUCAGUGCUACGUAGAACUUCAGAUAUAGCACUUGCAGUGUCAACUUGGCUGUCGAUGUCUUGCCCUCCUGACUGUUUACUCUCUGUGACCCUCUCAACUACAGGUAAUUGACCAAAGGAUAGCUCAUUUGCAUCUAUCCCAUUCCUUACGGAGCUGGAAGAUGCAAGAGUUUGCAAGAGAUGCUGGCCAACAGAUGUAGAGUUCAAGUUUUGAUCAAGAGGAGCAUUGCUCAUUCCACCAUCACUACUCUUGACCGGGGUCUUUGGCUGCCUUGGCCGCCUCUGAUCACAUAAAAAACAAGGGAGUUGCAAGCAAUCAGAUAGCAGAAGACAUCAAAGGAGAACACAUCAGAGAAAAUUGAUUAAUAUACUGAAACAGAAGGGUUAGCACACAAAGUGCCAUAGAGAAAGACUUUGGAGAAAAAAUAAUUACUAAAAUGGAGUGCUUAACAGUAUCAAUGUAAUACUUGGGUAAGUAAACAAAGAGCCAUCUGACAAUCAUGAAGAUCUAGCCUGCGAAAAAUUCCAUGCACAUAUUUGAGUAGGAAUCUUUUUUUUUCCCUUCUUUUUUUUUCUUUUUAAGGAUCUUGUCAGAAGACUUGGAUCUAACAGCAACUUCAAAGUACCACAAUAUGAAGGAUAUUUCGAAUAUUUUUUAAAACGAACAAAAUUAUCAUACCUUCCGUUCUAAACCCCCCAGCCCCAAUCCAAGUGGAGCAGCUUUGGAACCCUCCUGCAGAUCUUGCUUCUCAAUAGAUCCAAGAGCAUUUCCUGAAUUGUCUUCUGACUCUCCACUUGAUGAACUCUGAGCACCUCCACUAGAAGAUGAUGGUGCAUCUUUAGAACUCAAGACGCUCCCCAUACCUUCAUUAGUCCUUACAUGAUCUCCUUCAGGUAGUGCCUGCUACAUUAUCAGCAGUGGUCAAAGGAAAUCACAAAAUUAUUCCAAUUUGCAUCAUCCAAGGUUUUUAUACAAAGCAAACCUUCUGACUUUCACUUUCCGGUGUGUUCCCGGAUAAAGAGACCCUAAGUUCACCAACUCUGUUAACUGGUGUGCUACUGAGCUGUUCAUUGCCAGCAUAACUUCCUACCAUAGAUCCAUCAGAUAAAUUCUGCCCCGCUGACAUCACUUCAGCUACAUACAGAAAGAGCAGUAUUUGUCAACCGUGCAGUCAUUAGUACAUGAAUUAGUAUCAAAGGUACCUACCUGAUGGAACCUGGUUUUCUCCUUGCAUGUUACCAACAAAGUUCCUGAUUUGUGAAUUCACUUGAUCAACAACAGAGGAUAGCAAACCUGAGUUGGCAGAUAGCUGAGGUACGGAUAAGCCUGGACCAGGUUGGGCUACAGUGGAAAUUGCAGCAGCAGUAGGACGUGAUGGUACAGCUGCUGCAAUGAUAUUUCUCACAGGUAGGACCCUCACUGAACCAGAACCAGCCAACUCUGUAGAACCAGUAGCAUUCCUGCGUUCUCCCUGCACUCCAUCCCCAUUACUUGCCCUGGUACCAAUUGUUGAAAGAACAGGUGCCAGUGCAGUGCCUAAUAACACGUACACCAUCAGAUCCAUAAAAGUAUAAGCAGCACGUUAUGCAUAAAAUUUACCUACCAGCAUGUAUAUGAAUAUUUAUGUUCCUUGGGGCAUGUCCAACACCAACUGGGCCAAUAUUCAUGGGAUUUGAUGAAGGAACUGAACCGCCAAACAAAGAGCUGGUUUGGAUAGGAAAUGGCUGUAAAUAAAGGAAAGCCAUGAAUAAAUAGGUACAUUAUAACCAGCUUUUUUUAAUCAUUUCAAAUCCUAAGAUUGUAGCUAGUAAAUCGUAAAAGAGCUCAGCAUUUAAAUUGUCAGAGAGAUACAGUGACAGAAACACACAAUUGAAGCAACAUAAUCCAAGGAAUAAACUAUCUCCUAUGCAAUUCCAAAACCAUCAUAUUCACUGCAGUCAGCAAAUUUCACUACUACUCACACUCUCAUUUUUUCUCUUUAAGCUCUAUACUCUUUAGCAAAGGUUUUCAUUACCUUUUUCCAGCCAAAUACAGCACUCUGUAUCCCCUCCCUGUCUACAUGAAAGGAGUAUAAUUUUAUACUGCAGUAAGCGUAUUAUGUACUGUUCCUCCACAAUGCAUAAUUAUUAAAAUCUGUCAGCUGGUAACAGAUUUUGCCAGUACGUACAACAUAUUUACUGUCCUAGGAACAGCUAACUUAACACAUUACUGUUACAAACCACCAACAUCAUGUUUAUCCAACCAUUCACCACGGCACAGGAAGACCCACUUAUACCCUCAAAUCUUAUUCUACAUGUGUGAUAUAUACCAAAACAUAUGAUACAUAAUUAUUGACUAACCUGAACCAUUAUUGGAUUAGGUCCUGAUGGAGAUAUAUAAACAGCAGGCCCAGCAUUGACAGAAAAUUCCACCUGCAAGUUGCAGUGGAAAAAAAAAGGUGAAUAUGUACUCAAAAAUGUGAACAUGUAAUCACAAAAAGAGCCAAUAUGCAGAGGAUAGACUAGAACAUACAGGAGACUGCCCCAUACGGAGUGUCAAAAUUACACGACCAAGCUCUAACAGAAGAGAACCCAAGUGUUGCAUUGCAAAUCCUAUUUGCACAGAUUCUGCCUGAAUUUGACCCCUGAUAUUAGGAUCUGAAGAAGCACCCUCUUGCUCCAAACGUCCUGCGAUAUGCUACAUUAUAAAUAACACUUAAUCAGAUUACUAGAGUUAUCCCUCCAAGAAAAUAAUAAUAAUAAUGAUGAUGAUAACUAAAGAAAGAAGCAAAGUUGGUCCAUUUUCAGCAACUUUAUCUCAAAAACUUUUCUUUCAUAAGAUAUGAGUGAUUAUAAAAUAUUGCUUUGAUAUUGGUAAAGUGCAUGCUUUAGCUUCAAUAAGUGAUUAAAUCUUGAUUCCAAAUACUACAAAUAUGCACUGACAACUAUGUGCGAUGCAUUUCAGAAAAAAUGAAAAAAGAAAAAAAAAUUGUGGUGAUUAGCGAAAUAACUUUCUAUAAUUUAAAAUGUGCAAUUACAAUGAACAAAAUCAGCAAAAGAUUCAUAAGUUCAUCUGAUCAACCAGCAAAAGUAGAAAGAAAAGUCAAACCCAAUAACAUUAAGGAAAUAACUGAUCAAUACAACAGUAUAGAAAACAGACUCUAUAAACACAGAUGUAACAAAGGGAUUGAAAAUGCAAACUCAGCUCUGACUAGCUUUACAGAAAGAUAUAUGCUUUCCGUUCCAAGAUAAAUUUUAAUGAAAAUAAUCCACUAAUAUAUGCUAAUGGAAACCAGGCACAAACACAUCUCAGUUUCAAACAAAGAUAAGGAUCCACCAAUGCAAAGACAAAAAGUGAAAAGAAGUGUUCCAAGAAUAGUAUUUACAGAGAGUGCAGCCACAGUGUGACCACUGAGAAGCCUUUGUGCACGUUGCAGGACAAUGUUCAAAGCUUCAGGAGUUGGCAAACCCCGUUCGUUGGAUGGUAAUUCAGGUCGUGGUACUUCUUCAUUACUAGUUGAUGAUGUAUUUGGCUGAUACCCUAUACAUCACAGAAACAGUUAGUUGGAAGUUAUAUCAAGCACAGAAGCACAAGACAAUGCUUUAGCACAAUCACCAUUUUGGGACAGUGUCUGCUCCAUGUGGUUCAUAAACUCUGAAAUUGUAUUUAAAGAAUCAGGAAUUGGCUGAAACCAAUAAAGAAAUGAUAUUAGUAAAUAAUAAAGGCAUAUAACAAGUAAACAUGCACAAAUAGAUAUUUCCAUACCACAUUAAGUGAAGGAAAUGGCACAGCUCCUGCUGUCUGAGGAAUUUGCACAACAGGAGGUGACGAUAAUUGACCAGGAUAUGGCUGUCCGGACUGUGCUUGAUUUCCCACUUGGCUUUGAUUCCCAACAUGCCCACCACUGCCAGCUGUCUCAUUUCCUUGUUGAGGCUGAGCAUGAAUAUUUGACUGCAAAUAAUAACACGAUCAUUUGAAUACACUAAACACAUACACAGGUAUUUCCGAUUGCAGCAAAGAACUACACAAAUCAGGAAAAUGAUUUAAAUGGCUACUUACACGGAUGACAGACACCAUAAUGAAUAGGUUCAACAUGAUAGCCACAAAUGGAGCUACACAGCCAAAUUUGUCUAUAAAACUGUGAAAAUAUGUUCAUGUGAAUGAAUGCAUUGCUCAAAACAUUCGAUUGGAUAAAAGAAUGUGACAACCACAAAUGGAGCUACACAGUCAAAUUUGUAUGUAAACAGUGAAAAUAUGUUCAUGCGAACGAAUGCAUUGCUCAAAAUAUUUGAUUGGAUAAAAGAAUAGCAUAAUUAAGGAAAAAUGUCUCCGGCUGCCACUUCCAUUUAAAAAAAUAAAAGAAAACCCAUCCCAUGAGCGAGAAAGUAAAUUAUUUAGAAGGGAAGGUUGAAAGAUGCUCCAUCACGCUAGCACAAAGACAUAAAAAAAAUUAAAAAUGCAAACUUACCAAAGUUGAAAACUGUAUGCCACUAUUACUGCCAGUAGCUGGGGUCUGACCACCAAUUCCAAGGGAAUUGAUAAGUGCCCCAAUAACCUACAAGUCAACCAAUAAGGGGUUAACAACUUGUGGAAACAACAAAAUACAAAUCCUUCCAUCCUUCCUUCUCUUCCUGCAACAGCAGUUAAAAAACCUGAUACAAAGAUAUAUUAAAGCCCACCAAGUUAAGAAAAAAGUAAUAUUUUCAGACGCACCCGAGUGAGGUCUGGAGCAAUGCCUUCACCUUGAUCCCCAACAUUGAAGGUCCCAAGAAGUACACUGUGAGAAACUUGCCCCAUACGACCACGAGGGGCAUUAGCAUUGGCUUCGCUACCUGCCAAAUUAGGACAGAAACCAUGACUAACCGACUUAGAAAUGAUCAACAUUGCUGUAAGAAAAUGCUUGGAAUUACGAACUGCCGGAGAAUCCUAAUUGGAGAAUCAGUACCUCCAGUAACAUUGUUCCCAUUUGUCUCUCCAGAGCUCGCAUCAGAUGAAGGCUGUGAUUGAGCUGGCUGCCUAAUUACCAAAUGCAGUGUAUGCCCAUUCUCAACAUCUAAAAACAGUCAAGGAAUUCACGGAAUUGCAGUGAUAGAAAAAUCCACUUAGAUGGCUAAAUGAGCCAUAAGAUAGUGAUAAAAUACUGGUGUAAUAAAACAUCAAUACAGCAAGUGAAACUAAGAAUAUAUGGCAAACAAAUCGCAGCCCAGAAACUCUUUAACGCAAAAAUAAAGAUCGCAUCAAUGGGGAGAUACGGUAUUCAGAAAGGAGAUGUUCAUCCUUUAACACCUUUCCCCUGAAUAUCAAUCGUUGCUGGCCAACUGGGACACCAAUAUCAUUGGCUAUCUUCUCCUUGAAUAAUGUAACUGGGAUCUGAAUCAGAAUGACAUUAUUUGGAAAUGAAUCCAGUGAAGUUCAAAUUUUCCAAAGAAAAGAAAUCGAUUAGCACAAUGAAUUUGUGAAUUUCAACAAUUUGGAGGUCCCAUUCAUGAUAUGCAAAUUGUAUGAACAAAAACUGUUAUUUCGGUCAUCAAUAAGAAUGAAAAUGCCAACCAAAAUAACCGAAUAACGAUUACAGUGAAUUGAAACAAGAAGCAUGAUCAAGACUUUGCUCACAUUUUUGUCAACUUGGAAACUAUAAACCUGGGAUUCUAAAGUCUUGACAUUGAUCUCUACAAUUGCAUCUGAACUUUUGCCAGAAACAUUGCCUGUGCUGGAACUCUCAUUGGGAUAUUGAUCCGCCAUGAUAAGCAGCAGCAACCUGAGUGCAAAAUCAGUUACUGUACAAAUUCAAACUCUGACAUACAAGCAAUCGCAUAUCACAAAUGCAAAAUGGUACUUGUCAUUUUCUAAGUUUGUUGCAAUCUGAAGUUUACAGAAUAUCUAUCUAUCUGCACUGGCGUUAGUAGCUGAUGCACCGGCAUGCAAUUAUUCAGAUAACGAAUGCGACAAAGGACAUUUAAUGCUUAAAAUGAAAAGAUGCUAUGCAGCACUUUGAAAAGUUUUAAAUGUCAGCAUCAUACAUUUUUAUGUAUAUGGAUGUUCUUUCUCGUCUUAAGUUGCAAUAACAUGAAAGAGAUACUACAAAACAGACACAUUGCAACCAAUGCACUUACUUAACGCUAGAAUACACAAAAUAAGAGCCAUCCUAUACCUCCAUAAAAUCAUAACGAAUAUAAUACACUCUCUCUGAAAUAUACCUUCCUAUCAAAAUCUAACCUAAUGCCGCAUCUAAAGGCAAACAAGAUCCCAAUUCUAUCAAAUUGCAAGAAGGAAGAUGACAUAGUUUUCAAAGCAAGAAAUUAUGCAUGGUGAGUUUAUAAAACCCUAAUGCUGAUCAAAUCCUGAAUGCAUACAAUAAAAAUCCACAAAAAAAAAAACACUUCUUCAACCAUUACUCAGCUUUUAUUAUAAAAAAGAUGCUGGAGAUCGCAAUCAAUCAUAACAUCAAGGCGAAGAGAAAUAAAAAUAUUAAAUAAAUAAAAAGUUAAUCCUUCGAUACAAGAGUACUAAGAUAAAACAAAAAUUAGAUACUAAAAUUGCUAAACAGAACGAGUUCCGCUAUCUGCUUAGGGCGUGCAAGAAUAAAAUCGUGACACGUUUAAUCCGUAUAUAUAGCCCUCCCCGCCCCAACAAAAAAAAAAAAACAGAUACAAAGUAUUCAAGAGAGAUAAGAGCAGGAAAAAUGGAAAACACGAGAGGAACCUUUAGUUGCAGAAAUCUGAAAUUAAAUUAGAGUGCAAAGACGACGGGAAAAAUACGGCGGCGCCGAUUUGAGUGUUAUUUAUUUAUUUUUCGUUGGUUGGGGAAGGGGGGUUAUUUUUGAAGAAAGGCUUGGCUCGGGUCUCUUAACGAAUGCGGAAUGCCUUUGGGAGUAAGAAAAGAAGUCUUCUUUGGUCUAGAUAGUAGAUAGAGAACACGGGUGAUAGGGCGGUGCCGUGGUACAUGACCCGAGUUGACCGGGUUUUAGCUGCUUUAAUGAACUGUGCAAUCGAUUAUACCACGAGGUACGUUUGGCAAGAAGAAUCUAGAAAAAAGAAGCUGAGCGUAAGGCUGUGCAAGGGAAAUUCAUUCUACGGUGCCGUUUUGUUGGUGGUCUUGGUUUUCAGGUUGGAUGCAAGAAAGUUCAAUAUGGGCCUCGACAAUUCAAUAAGACCUGCCCAUUCCUAGAUGGACUUACAUUAUUGCCACCCCUCUAAAUGCCGCUUAAAAUCCAUUUUCUUUAUUAAUCUCAUUAAAACGUUUAAAAAUAAUACAACGUGUUUUUACUAGUUACGUUAAAAAAAAAAAAAAAAUCAAUUGAAACUUAUUCGUGUAAAUCAACGCCAUUCUUUAGUAUCCUCUUGUUCACAUUCCUCAACCAAUUUUCUUUUUUUGUUUGUUUUAAGCAUUAUUGGCAUAAUUCAGUGUACUGGCAACCAUGUGCAGGGCUUGUAGAUUAUUUCAAUUGGAUCGAUUUUUGACGAGGCAGCAAUGAUGGUGGCUCGACUUGGGUGUGGUCGGCUCGUGAGUGUAGUCGCCUAGUCGGCUUGAUGGGGAACGUGCAUAUUAGGCCAGUUUUGUGGGGGCUGGUGGCGCGAAAGAUUUGCGUCUCCCGUCAAAGUUGGGAUUGGUUAGAUCGGCUUGAUGUGGAGGAGUGGCGGUUCGAUUUUGUAGGGGCUGUUGGUGUGGCGGUAGUGUGGCAGUUGAAUGGUAGUUGUUUUUGUAUAGUGGCGGUGGGUUAGAGUGUGGAAUAGUUUUCCGGUUAAAGCACGUGGCGGUGGUUUGGAUGGGAGUAGACGGCGUCAUUGUUGUUUAGUGAGUGUCCGCAACGGUGGGUCGUCGCCACCGUCAGCCAAAUAAGCCAUAAAAGCCAAUCAAGGUGUUUGGUGCAGUUUGGCCGCGAAACAGAAAAUUUUUUACUUGUCGGUGAGGGUUUAAUUAGUAAUUAUAUCCCCUUUAAAAAAUAUUAGUAACUAUAUCCGAUAAGUAAUUUUAAUAAAAAUUAAAAGAGUGUGGCUAUCAAGGAUGAGUGUCUCAAUACUCAUUCUUGAUAUUUUACAUACGUUCUUGUUCAUAAUUAUUUGAAGGAGUUUUUGUCCCCUUCAUGAAUAAUAAAUAAAAAAUUAAAAUAUUUAAUAAAUAUUAUAAUAAAAAAUUGGGCCAAUAGGAUCAUGUCUAGUAUUUUUAAUGCUCUGAAUAAAAAUUUAAACUACAACCAUUCAAUUAGGUCUAAAAAUUUAAUAAUAUAAACAUUUUGAUAUUUAUUUUUUAAACCAAUAUUUAAUAUUGUACAAUUUAAAUUUUAUUAUUUAUUCACUAAUAAUUUUAAAAAAUAAAACUAAAAUUAAAAAGAAAAAAGAAAAAAAUAUGGAUGGGAUGGGAUUCACUUCAUCGCCGUCCUUUCUCUUAAUAAGAAGUUGGGUAAAAACUAGUUCCAGUCAUUUUCCCUAAUAAGAAAUUAGAUAUAAAAUUAUUCUUAUAUGAUCUCCAAAUGGGAAAAAUCCCCAACGAUCCCCAUUUCCAUAGGAAUUUCUGCCAGUGCCAUUCCUAAGAGCUAUUUGAAUUCAUUAAAUUCUUCUUUACACUUAUUUACUUAGUAAAUCUACUAUUAAAAUCUUAAAAUUAAAUUUUUACCGUAUAAACUUCUUAAUAUCACACAAAUAGUCCUAAUAAUUAUAUAUUAUUGCUGCAUAUUAUUUUACUCUUGAGGUCCACUGAGCCCCUUUCAUGUUUAUCUCUUACUCUUCGUUGUCAUUUUCUCAAUUUCUUUGUAUUUAUGAUUUUAUGUUGCAGAUCUAGUAUAUUGAAAAACCAUCUCUUUGUUUUGAAAUUUGUUUAAUUUUAUGACCCAAAUAUUAGGACCCAAAUACAUAAUCAUUCAUCUAAAAUCUCAAUCAGAUAGGGCAUCUUGCAUCCUUGUUCUAUGGAGGUGUGCUAUCUGAAUUCACUCUUACAAAAUAUUGCUAUUGCAACUGCAGCAAUCUAAAAUCAUUCAUGUAUCACGGUGAAAAAAAAAAUAAUUAUAAACAAAAUAUUUUAUUUAAAGUUGAGGAGAUGGUUACGGUUUAUGGAGGGUGCAAUCAUUUAUGGUGUGUUUACUUCAUGUGAAUAGGAAUGCGUUGGAAUGGGAAUGUGUUGGGAAUAAGAUUUCAUUGUUUACUUAACAAAAUAAAUGGGAAUGAGAAUAUAUUGAAAUGUCAUUGAUGUGUUUACUUGACAAAAUAAAUGAGAAUGAAGAAUGAUAAUGAGAAUCAAAUUACCAAAAUACUCAUAGUAUUAAUAAUUAAUAAAAAUAAUUAAUUUAUCAUUAUUAACAAAUAUUAUCAUUAUUGUUGUUGUUGUUGUUAUUAUUAUUAAUAAUAAAAUAUUAUUACUAUUUUUAUUAAUAUUAUCAUUAUUAACAUUUAUUAUUAUUAUUAAAUUUUAUUAACUUUAUUAUUUUAGCUAUUAUUAAUUAUUUUUAUUUUUAUUAAUAUUAUCAUUAUUAACAAUAAAAUAAUGAUAAAAAUAAUUAAUUUAUCAUUAUUAACAAUAUUAUCAUUAUUAUUGUUGUUGUUAUUAUUAUUAUAUUAUUAAUAAAAAUAAAAAUAAAAAUAAUUAAUAAUAACUAAAAUAAUAAAGUUAAUAAAAUUUAAUAAUGAUUAUUAUUAUUAUUAUUAAUGACAUUUAAAAUAAUAAAAUUAUUUGUAAUUUGAACAAAGGUAAUUUACGAAAUAUGAAAAAAUUAGAAGGAUAUAAAAAUAAAUUUAUGUUUCAUUCUCAUUCCCAACCCCCCAUGAGAAUGAGUUUCUUAUUCUUUAUUUUUAAAUUAUGUGGGACCCACAUAAUUUAUUCUCAUUCCCAAAUUUAAUUUUGUCAAGUUAACAUAACUUUGAUUCCAAUUCCUCUAUUCUCAUUCCUUAUUCUAAGAAGUAAACACACCGUUAGAUAAUUAACUUAUUUAUCAUUUUUAAUAGUUUUACAUUAGACUAUGUUUUGGAAUAUAAUUUUUUAUUAAAAAAUGGAUCUAACAAGAAUUUCUAUGGAUCAAAUAAUAUCACCCAAGUGAAAAUUAUAGAAUAACUAAUGGGGUAAUGGAGUUUUACGAGGCAUGUGGAGGGUUGCAUAUAGCCAUAUAGGCCUAGUCUUGCAUAAGUUUGUGUUGGAUUAGCUUUCCAAAGAUAAAGACAAUAUUUGGUAUAACAACAGUUAGGUGGGGCUAUCUGAACCUAUUAAUUUCUUUUAUAAAUUUAUCUAAAAAAUAUAUAUUUGUUAUUAAAUCUUAAUAUUUUGAAAUUUCAAAGUUAACCCCCCCACUAAUUUCGUCCUUUUUCAAUCUCAUUGCAACCAAAUUUUUCCUAGCAUGGUUGUCUAUAAAUAAAAUAUAAAUAAAACUCUCUUAACUUUAGAUAGAAAUUAAAAUGGAGAUAUUUGUUAAUUUAUAUUAUUUCUUGAGAUAGAAAUUAGGAGGUGUUAGUUUUUCUUUAUGAAAAUUUAGAUGAAAAAAAUGAUUUAUUCUUUAUGGUAUAUGAAGAUUGCUCGCAAAUGUUGAGUUUUGUUCCUUAUUGUUCUUGAUAGAUUAUAACAAUAUCUAUUUGAAUUUUGACCAGUUUGUCUUAUCUCUCAAAACAUCUGCAAUCUAUCACUAAAAAAAAGGGUAAAAAUUGGUGAGAAAUGUAAAGAACUAUACAAAAAGAAAAUAAAGUUAGUUAUAGUAUAGAAAGAGAAAAUGUGGUCAGUUAGAUAAUUUCAUCAAAAAAUUAUUAAUAAUAAAAGAUUAAUUGAAAAGAGCGUAUAAAAAGAAAAUUAACGGUUUCAAAUAACCUUAUCAAAACACCUUAUCCAUAUAGCCUUAAGAGUGUAUAAAAAGAAAAUUAAUGGUUUCAAAUAACCCUAUCAAAGCACCUUAUCCAUAUAGCCUUAUCGUUGUGUCAGUAGAGUUUAGCCACAAAUGAGUUAUUCUUGCUAAAUUCAUCAAAUUUAAGAAUAAUUUAAUAUUAUGAGAAAAAAUAAUAAUAAUGCAACAUAAGUUCAUCAUAAAGUGAUUAAUUUAUUAAUAUUAAAGUGAUUAAUUGGUAUAAGUUGGAAAAUAAAAAUAAUGCAGAAAAUAUGUUAAAAUUUUGUAAUAAUUAGAUAUAAAUGAGAUAAAUGAGAUGAAUGAGAUGUCAUGCAAGAUAAUUUCUUUGAGUGUUUUUUUAAGUUUAAUUUUUUUUUUUAAAAGACUCUUCAGUCUUCACAAUAUAUUAAAGGACUCACCAAUGAUGCCGAGUCAGUUGGUCUCAGUUACUGCACCAGCCACCCUCUACUCACUCACUUUUCUUACAGGAAAAAGCCAAAACAACUCUUAAACUAUCUCCGGCAUGGACAUUGAGAAACCGUCGAAUAAAACCGCCGGGAAACCAAUUCAAUGCAGAGGUAGGUAGCAUUUAUUUAUCAUACUGUACAAAUCUUCUAUUAUCAUUAAAUUAAAGUCAUCAAUAAUUCGCCUUGAGCAUGAAAUGAAUUAUAAUCGUUGACUUUCGCGUCCGCGUCGUAAAAAUCUGUAGCCGCAAUCGCUACAGCUCCAGGAGAGCCUCUGGUUAUAGACGAGGUUAUCGUCGACCCUCCAAAUUCCCACGAAGUUCGGGUUCGGAUAAUCUGUACUAGUCUCUGUCACAGUGACGUCACCUUCUGGAAAAUGAAGGUCUCUUAUCAAAGUCAAACCCUUUUGUAUUAUCUUUAGUUUUAUUUUUUUCUUUAAAAAAAUUAUUUAAUUUAUUUGCUUGUUAUUAUCGUUGUUUUAUUUUUCGUGAAGGAUUUUCCAGCCGUGUUUCCAAGAAUUCUCGGUCACGAGGCUAUCGGGUAAGAAUUAUAUUCUAUCUUUUAUACCUUUGUAAUUUUCUUUUUCCUUGCAUGACGGAUAUGUCUGAUGAAAAACUCAAUCUUGGCUGAUCAUGUGAAUGUGGCUUCAUUAAGCUAGUCAUUAAUUGUUUUGCUUAAUCUAUCCCAAUCUAUUUUUAGUGCUAAUGUUGACGCUGGGUUUUCCAUGGGGCCAACUUGGUUGUUCACGAUGAAUUGAGAGUGUUUGGCCCUUGGCUGACAUGGUCUAAAUAAUUAACAUUGUGUUGCAGAGUUGUGGAGAGUGUUGGGGAGAAUGUAGAUGGAGUGGUUGAAGGAGACGUUGUCAUCCCGCACUUUCUGGCAGAUUGUACAGAAUGUGUAGGUUGUAGAUCAAAGAAGGGCAACCUAUGUUCAGCAUUUCCUUUCAAGAUCUCUCCUUGGAUGCCAAGGGAUCAGACAAGCAGAUUCAAAGACCUCAGAGGAGAGACUAUACACCAUUUUGUCUCUGUUUCAAGUUUUUCUGAGUAUACUGUUCUAGAUAUUGCCCAUGUAGUCAAAGUUGAUCCUACAGUCCCUCCAAAUAGGGCUUGCCUUCUAAGCUGUGGAGUAUCAACAGGUACCAGCCACUGAUUUUGAGGCUAUUAAUUGUCUUGAUUAUAUGCAAUACAAGAUCUCUGUUUUCCACUGGCUUCAGUUCUCUCAGAUCAACUGGAAUUUGGAUUUUAUAGGCGUGGGAGCUGCUUGGAGAACAGCAAAUGUAGAGGUUGGAUCAACUGUUGUUAUAUUUGGGCUUGGUUCAAUUGGAUUAGCGGUAUGAUAUUGUAGAAAAUCGGUUGAGUGUUAUACACUUCCUGUUUGAACUUUCGUAUAUGGUAUACUGCUGAAAUAGGUUCAUAGAUAUCUUUUGGUAUCAGGUUGCAGAGGGAGCGAGAUUAUGUGGUGCUACAAGGAUUAUAGGCGUGGAUGUGAUCUCGGAAAAAUUUGAAAUUGGUGAGUGAAGUUUAUAUGUUGUACGGGCUUAGGUUUGACAGGGAAUAAUCUCCUCAUGUCAUCACAAAUAAAUAAUUGUUUGUGUGGACACAUCAUUAUGAAUCAACUAUUCGAAGUAUUUGAUAGAUACUAAGUUAAACAAUUCUGUUUUAUAGGCUAAUUGAAACUAUGAUUUCUGUGAUUUCUGAUUGAUGUUUAUCCACACAGGAAAAAGGUUUGGAGUUACAGAGUUUGUGAAUUCUAAAAACUGUGGGGAUAAAUCUGUAAGCCAGGUCUUGCUCUCAAUCUAUGAUCUUCCUCUUCUUACUAUUUCUGUUAGUUUCUAAUUUUGAGGUAGAGGAUGCCAUGUCAUGGCAGUUUACAUCCUUUUGGUGAUUUCAGCUUAUGUCUGAAGUGGUUUUUCCAUUAGGUUGUUUUAUCGUUUAAAGAACAAGCAUUUGCAUCUUUGGGGUGUCAACAAACUUGGAUCUUUUGUGUUGAACCUAAGCAUCACAGAGUAGUUAGUAGUUACUAUAUAAUUGAACAAGUUUGGACCUAAGAUACCACUCUUUUGAACCUUUGAGAGCUUAUGACUCCAUAAACUCUACAUAGGAUGACAAUGAAGCAUAAAUAGUGCAUUUUGUGAAAUCUUCUUUAUUUAUUGAUUCAGUUGAUGAGAUAGCCUGUGACUGCUAUCUCAUAUUUCCUUUUGAUUUUAUGCCUUCUCCCUGUGAUACUGCAGUUUAAGUUGUUAAUUCUUAUUACACUGCAAUGUAGAGGGAUAAAUCUUAUACCUCUGCAAUGAGAUGCUAUGAAUUAACCUACACUGCAUUGCAGUGUUAAGAAGGAUUAACCUACACUCCUUUUAAGAUAAUCAGUUACAGGAUAAUGUAUUAACCUUCUCUGCAAAGCAUUGUUGCAAGGAUAAUCAUAAAUCCAUAAAUACUAUUCAAUAUUAUAUUCUAGGUAUGGGAGAUGGAAACUGUUUAAAGCAAACAAUCUAUAUGCAGCACAUUAUGAAGAGUAAUCUCUCUCUUCUUUUUUUUUAAUUUGAUAGAUUAAUCUUUAACUACUAUUUCACUUAGUUUUUUCUUUAAUCAAUUUGAGCAGAUAAUCAUUGACAUGACUGAUGGGGGUGCUGAUUACUGCUUUGAAUGUGUUGGUUUGGCAUCCUUGGUGCAAGAAGCAUAUGCUUGUUGCCGAAAGGUCUGCUUCUAAGUCUCUCACUCUCUCACCCAUAGUGUUGUACAAGCAGAAUUAAUUUGAUUAAACAUAAGCUCAAUGUGACUAGGGUUGGGGGAAAACAAUUGUGUUGGGAGUGGACCAGCCGGGGUCACAGUUGAGCCUGAGCUCUUUUGAGGUCCUUCACAGUGGAAAAAUUCUGAUGGGAUCAUUGUUUGGAGGUCUCAAAGCUAAAUCUGAUAUUCCUAUUCUUUUGAAACGUUACAUGGAUAAGGUAAUUUAACCAUUAAUAUAAUGCUUAUUUACACACACACACACACACACACACACACACUUUUGCGUAGCCUAGCUUCCCAAAGAUCUUAUGUUAUGGUAGGUUAUAUAAUGCUCAUUACUUUUGCAUAUUCUUGCCUUGCCUAGCUCACAAAAGAAUCUUAAGUUCUAACUCUAUGGCAAUAAAUUAAUAAUGGUAGUUUUAUAAUGUGGUUCUAGACUUCUGUAUGCUCUCUUCUAGGCUUCACGAUUAUAGACUAAAUCGUAUGGUGACAUAUUAUUGCCAGCACAUCUUUGAUAAUACUAGUAGUGGUCUUAUGUUCCUUUUUCAGGAACUAGAGCUGGAUAAGUUUGUCACUCAUGAGAUGAAGUUUGAAGAAAUCAAUAGCGCGUUUGAUUUACUUAUAAAAGGAAAGUGUCUCCGUUGUGUGAUAUGGAUGGGCGAAUAAGAUUUCUUGCAUUAUUUUCUUGUAUGUACUUUCUCCAAUAAUUACCUCUCAUAUCUAAGCAAAUUGACCAACCAUUUGUGAUGGACCAUGUGUAUAUGAUACAAGAUUCGUUGGUUGAAUAAGUGACUUCUGAAAAAUUUUAAAUUUGAAGAAUCUUUUUUACCUUAUGACCAAGAGCAAUUUAAUUAUGUUAGGGCUUACCAGCUUUGUAUCUAGAGAUAGAAUGCGUUUGGUAUCAAGCAGAAUUAUAUGCCUCUUUUCUUAUAAUGGAUUCGUAUUCUGGGUAAAACUGCGCUAUUUUAUUGACCUUACAGAAAGUAUAUCAUUGAUCAGUUUCCUCGAUCCUCAACCUCUCAGCAUUUGAAUUGGAAGAAUCGCUGGCUGCACUAAUAUCAUCUGGAUACCUGUUAGGGAGCUUUUCUGUUAGUCCAUUUAACAAGUAGCAAUGAACGAUUUAAGUCACACGACAAAUUGCUUCUAGCACAUUUAUUUGGGAGCACUUGGCUAGGUAUCGUUAACGGGAACAUCAAAUUGAAUUUAUUACGUGAAAAACUUUUUUCUUUCAUUAUCAUAAUAAUUGCGAUAAUAUUGAUCGACCCAAAAAUAGAAAAUAGUUAAUGGGAACAUCAAGUAGAAUUUAUUACGUGAAAAACUUUUUUCUUUCAUUAUCGUAAUAAUUGCCAUAAUAUUCACCGACCCAAAAAUAAACAAAUAGGUGAGUGACAUAUUUGAGUUUCAAUUUGAAUCAUAAUAUUAUGUAUCAUUCAUCUAUCGUAUGAUAAAUAUAAAAUAACUUAAUAUCUUAUUUUAUUAUUUAAUAAAUAAAUAUUACAUUAAUUGAAAUUUAAGUUAACACUCAAAUGUUAGAAUUCUUAACAUUACCUUAUUAGAAAUAAGCAUAUAAUCUAUUGAUAUCAUACGGUAAAUUUUAAAUUUCAAAACCGGAAGUUUUAAAUGGAAUGAAUGCACCACGUCAUGAAAUAUAAAUAUGUGUUCAAAAUAAUUCAUUAUAUGGAAAUUUGCAAACUAUAAGAUUGUGUUAGGUGGACAUUAGAAUGAUACAGAAUGCUGAUUUAAAUGGAAACUAAAAAAACCCACCACGUCACCAGAUCUGAUGAAUAAUUUGUAACGGAUAAAACCUUUAAAUGGAAACUUGCAAGUGAUAGCCAUUCCCGCUUUCACUUUCUCGCAAUGCUCUCAAUAUCAUUGUUCAGUUCAGUGGCAUGGAUAUUGAUAUCGAGAAGAAACCGUCGAGUAAAAUCGCCGGGAAACCAAUUCGAUUACAGAGGCAGUGAUUGCAAACAAAUAUAAAGAUAAUAAUUAAUAUUUUCAUUUUCUCAAAAGUCAUCCGUAUUUCUCGUCCUGGUCUUGAAAAUCUGCGGCCGCAAUUGCUAGAGCGGCAGGGGGCAGGAGAGCCUCUUGAUGUAUAGAAGAGGUUAUUGUGGACGCUCCAAAAACACACGAAGUUCGACUACGGAUCACCUGUACGAGCGACAUCACAUUCUGGAAAAUGUAGGUCUCUAAUAUAUAUCUUACAACUAUUAUCUUCAAUUUGCUGAAAUAAAUUUAAGCUUUAUGCUAUGAUCUUACAAAUCCGUUCAACACGUCAUACGGGAGAAAGGCAGGAUUUUACCUUGGUUGGCCAUGAAAUGGACGCGCUGCUCAGCUUGUUUAUGGCCCGUGAAUUCAGCCUUCUGUUCUUCUAAUUUGUAGCAAGUCUUGGCUUCAAUCGCAGCUGCAAAAUCAAGCUACUCAUUCACUGUACAUACACGCACGGUGGGAGAGAGAGGAGAAAAGAUGCACUGCACUUUUUCCUUAAUAUCAAUCUUGAACAGUGAAUUCCCUUAAAUAUUGUGGGGGCGUUCAUGAGUUGAUACAAAAUUGUUCAUCUCAUUACAAACUAAAAUAAUAUAAUUAAAGGUUAUAUUUAUUUAUAAUAUGCGAUUAUAAAGGAUGUAAUAAAAUUAGACUGGUAAACACAAUAUAUAAUCACUUUAUAAAUGAGUGUAUAAAAAUUACUCCUUAUUAUUUGACAUCAGUCAUAUAUUAAUUUGAUAGAAUAAAAAACAAUUAGAAUAAUUUAUACUAGUCCACAAUAUGUUAUAAAUAAAUCCAAGAUAAUUAUGUCACAUUUUAUUUAUAUUAUUUUAUUUUGUUGUUAAUAUAUACUGUAUAUUGGUUUUAUCUUUCUUCAUGGAAUUUCGGUUGUUUUUCCAAAAAUUCUAUGGUCACAAGGCUAUCAAGUAAGAAAUAAUAUAUUGUCGAGUGUUCUACCUUUCAACCUACCAUUUUUAUGAAAAAAAUAGAAUUAUCAAGUAAAAGUUUAUAAUUUACAAUGAAUAUGACUCUUAAAUAAUAAUUUUGAUAAAAAUAAUAAAAAUAUCAUAGGUUUUUCAUUAUAUAAAUAGUGGAUCAAAUCAACUUAACUUUCAGGUUAUAACUGCUAAUGUUUACCGAUAACUUUAAUGUUAUAUCUUUUAACCUAUAAUUAUCCAAUCUCAACAAAUAAAGGUCAUAGUGAACCGCGUUAUUUAAGAUAUUGCAACCAUCCAUAUUAAUCAAGUAGAAAUUAAAUUGAAUUAGUAUCACUAUCACUAUCUAUUGUCAGUGCUAAUAACGCAAGAAAUUUAAUAUUAGCUGCUAGAAUCAUGAUAACGAGAGAGUUUGCCAGGGGACGAAUAAUUAACAAUAAUAGUACGUAUGCAGAAUUGUGAAGAGUGUUAGGGAGAAUGAGGACGAAAUAGGAGAGGGAGAUAUUGUCAUCCCACACUUUGUAGCAGAUUCGACCGAACGUGUAGACUGUAGAUCAAAGAAGAGCAACCUAUGUUCAUCAUUCCCCUUCGAGAUCUCUUCUUGGAGGAUGCCGAGAGAUAGGACAAACAGGUUCAAAGACCUAAGUGGAGAGACCAGACACCAUUUUCUGUCUCUUUGAAGUUUUUCCAGGGUACCCUGCUGUAGACGUUGCCCAUCUACUCAAAGUUGAUUCUACUGUCCUCCAAAUAGGGCACGCCUUCUAAGCUUUGAUGUGUCAACAAGAAGCAGUCAUUCAGUUUGUUCUGUAUCACUUGCUUUUUAAUUUGGUUGAAUUCGACAAUUCCAACAACUCCUAUUUCGAUUUUUACAGGCUUGGAAAACAGCAUAUGUGGAGGCUGGAUCAACCGCUAUUAUAGUUGGCCUUAUCUUGUACGGUACACAUUAAUUUGUUUGGUUGAGUAAGUGUUAUGUGAUAUAAUUGCUAAAAUAUAUAUGCUCAUAGUCAUAGAUAUAGAUAAUACAUUUUUGUUAUAAUAUAGAGGUUGCAAAGGUUGCAAGACUGUGCGGUGGCACAAGGAUUACAGAUGUGGAUGUGAAUCAAGAGAAAUUUGAAAUUGGUGAGUGAGAUUCUAAUGAUAUACAGUAUUUGGCAUUGGUUUGUCAGGGGAUAAUGGACACAACAUCGUGAGAUCAACCAUUCCAAGCUUUUGAUGUGUGGGCACCAGUUCUAUUUUUAUAGGCCACCGGAAACCAUGAAUUCUGAUUGAUAUUCAUCCACCUACAACAAAAAAAAAAGCUCGGAGUAACAGAGUUUGUAAAUUCUAAAAACAGUGGGGAUAAAUCGGUAGGUGACGUCUUGCCCUCUCAAUCGAUUAUCAUACUCUCUGGCUGUAAUAUUUUAAUUCUAUAAUGACUAAGGGCGUAGCCAGCAUAGGACCAGGUGGGGCACAUGCCCCAACUGGCUUUUAAAAUUUUUUUUUAUUGGUUUUCUGAAAAAAAAAAUCUAUAUUUUAUUUAUUAUUUAUAAAAAUACCUCAGGUGAAUUGCGAAACUUUGAAAAUGCCACAUGUAAUUUUAAAAAAAUUUUAUAUUGCCCCCAACUUAAAUGCCAAAUUCUAAAUAAUUUGAUUAGCUAUUAUAAUUUCAUAAAAAAUAAUAAAGACAAACAAGAGAACCAUUUAUCAAAUGAAAUCCAUUAAAAAAUCAAUUAAAAUAAGUGAAAUCUAAACUUUACUCUUUUUUUUCCGUCUCUUCCAUGGAAUAAAGUGUGGUGGGUGGACUCCAUAGCAGUCAUCACCAUGUGCGUGGAUUUCUUCUCACUUUUCUUCUUACUUCAAGAGUUAAACAUUCAUUUUAAUAAGGUAAACACUGAAUUACUUUGUUGCUUGGCUUGUUUAUGUCCAAAAGAUUCAUUUGCAGCUUUUAAUAAAAAAAAGUUAUUGCGCCUUGCUCAACUUUAUCCAAGAGAUUUUUCUCCAGUUGAUCUCAUGGCACUAGAUAUUCAACUUGAUGUUUACAUAAUGGAUAUGCAAUCUAGUGUUGAGUUUUCAGGAUUAAAUGGGAUUAGCAAUCUUGCACAAAAAAUGGUUAAGACUAACAAGCACAAGAUGUUUUCAUUGGUCAAUUUAUCAGUCACAUUAUCAUUACUUUUACCAAUUGCCACCGCUACUGUUGAAAAAGUUUUUUCAACUAUAAAUUAUGUAAAGAAUCGACAACGCAAUUAAAUGAAAGAUAAAUGGUUGAAUGAAUGAUAAUCUGGCAGUAUACAUUGAAAAAGAUUUAUUUGAUUGCAUUGAUAAUGAAACUAUUUUACAACAUUUUCAACACAUGAAAUCCCAUCAAAGAAUUAUCGAUUAGAACAAUUGUAAUAAGUAAAUUUAUUAUUAAUUUAUAUUAUAGUUGUGAUUGUAUUUACUGUAAUCUAAAUUUUCAAAAUUUAUUAUCAAUUUAUAUUAUAUUGCGAUUCUAUAUGUUGUAAUAUAAUUUUCAAAAUUAUACUACAUUUUUAGUGUGCCCCCAGAUCAAUUAAAUUCCUGGCUACGUACCUAUGACUAACUACUAAGCUUUAAUAUUUACUCGGUCGUGUCUUUAUGACCAAUUUGAGCAGGUAAUCAUGGAGACGAGUAAUGGGGUUGCUGAUUGCUGCUCUGAAUGCGUUGGUUUAGCAUCCUUGAUGCAAGAAGCAUAUGUGGAUCGUUGCUCCAACGGCGUAAAGACACUUCUGGAGAAAUAUCGCUUAUGUUGUUUCCCUCGGUCGACCAAGCUGGCGUGUUAUCUUCUGCUUUCUCAGAGAAUUCCCAACAAUCAUCACCAGCAUCCAAAGCUGCUGAAUCUGCUUCUACACAUGAAUAGAUAGGUAUUCACACAAAAGGAACUUAUGAACAGAAAAAUCUAUUGUACACUUUCAUUCUACAGUAGCGCAAUUUCAAGAAUAUCCUUAGUAGAAUGCUAAAUCAAAUUAAGCUAGUAGAAAGUAAAGCUUCAAACUAAUUGACAUAAUUAAUCAAUUAAUUACAAAGAGCCCCAUUUGUUGUUUCAUUUAUCAAAUGAAUUUGAAUCCAUUACCGGUCUCUUAUAUAUAAUUUUUAGUGAGAAAAAUAAAAAUAAAAAAUAGAAUUCGCAAACCAGAAGGUGAGCUGAAAAAAUGACGGCGAAAAGCAGUAAACUGAGCAAAGACAUUAGCAGCGUCAAGAUAAUCGCCAGCUGAAAUCCAAACCGAAACCGCCGCGCUGCGAGCAAAACCCAAAACCUCUCGAGGCCGAAACAAAUCGGAACGACGCCGUUCUUCCAAGCUCGACAAAACAUUUUUGCCGGACAACUUCAGGGCGUGAUUCAGCAAGUCGUCGUUCGUGCACUUGCGGACGAGGGAUUUGAAAUUGGGCUCGAAAGAAACCACUUCCGAUUCGAUGAAAUAUCGACAGCGAGGGCAGUUUUGAGAAUUAAUAUUAUUAUUGUUGUUGUUGUUCGAGGAGAAGGAGACUAAGAUGCCGAGAGAGUCUUGCCUGAUAACAACACCCGGCCACCAUUGCUGAGGAUACACUAUUCUUGACCACACUAUCUCUCCCCUCUCAAUUUUUGAAUUUCGCUCCUCCUUCUCCAUUUUAAUAACAGCCAUCAGCUUCCCUUUUACGAUUCCAUUCUCUUGCGCAGAUUGAUGUCCAGAGAAGUUUGGGGGGCCACUCACCAGUUUCAUCAAUAAAAAGUUAUUUUCUUAUUAUUGUUGAUCACCAUAUUAUUUCUAUAUAUUUUGGUUAUAUCAUCUUCAUUGUACGUAUGAUGUGUCUCUUAUAUUUCCAAAAUUUAAUGUGAAAAAAAUAUUAAUCGGCCAAUAUGUUUUUAUUAUGAUGGUGGGAUCGAUUAGAUUUAUGAAGAUUAAUUAUUUUUUUUCAAUCGUGCGGCAUUUUCCUACUAAGGUUUUAGAUUUUUAUUAGGUUUGGUAUGCCAAUGCCAUUAUGCAUAUGACUAGAUUGAGAUAGUCUAAUAUUUAGUAUUGUCUCGUAUUUAGUGUAUAGUUAGUAAUAUGGAUGGACAAAUUAAUAAAUUUAUCAGCCUGCCUAAUCAUUAGUAAUUGUAUUAAGUCAUGCAUUAGCAUACAAGAUGCCUAAUUUAAUACAAGUGAGGUUUGCCGUUGGGCAGCUUCAUAUUAUUUAAUUUUCUUGUACAAGAAAGUAGAAUAAUCACCCAUGCGGAAGCCCAUGCGUGUUCUAUGUAUUAUGGUAGCUAGCUUUAUAUUGUGACUCUACGCAGUCCUCAAUUUAUAUUAAUCAUCCAGUGCUGCCAAAAUAUUAAAUACAAAUGAUGUUUGGCGUUCGGCAGCUUCAUAUUAUUUAAUUUUCUUAUUCAAGAAAGUAGAACAGUCAGUCACCCAUGUAUGUAUAUAUAAAAUCUCCUAUGAGACUGUAAACGCACUAGAUGCACCCGUGAAGUAGUGAUUUGUAGAAUUAACUGCUUUCUUAGAUGACCCAAAAUGCCGUAGCCGAUAAACUCCGGGGAUAGCCUUCGUCGGCACUUCCCAUUCAAUGGUUGCUAAGCCAUGGAAACUAGUAUUCUCCAAACUCCACUUGAAAUACAGGGAGAAAUCGUCAUCGUCAUAAACCGGAAUCCAUCGCUUCCCCUGAAGCAUUUCAACCACAGCAUAUGUUCCUUCUGUUAACAGAUCAUACCUAGGGUUGGCACUCCAAAAUGUGGCACUUGGUCUAUCGCCCUUGUUAAAUGAACCGUCUUUUGGUUGAUUGAUAUCUUCCUUUAUGUCACCAAACAUUUUGCCUGCCGGAGGCGAGUCUCCGGUUGGGUUUAGUGAAAGGCUGAGUUGCACGGAUGAAAGAUCCGGUGGCGAAGGACCCUUCGUGGUUUUUUCUCCUUUUGCCAUUGCUUGUGCUAAUUUUUUGAAUUCUUGAAUGUAUGCUGGCAAUGUGUGGGGUCCGUAAAGCGUUGACGCAGCCUGCAGCACAUAUCAUUUUGGCAUCGAUCGAUGUGAUUAGAAUAGAAUUUCUUCCGUCAAAUCCUAAAAGAUUUUUCUUAUUUAAUUUAUUUUAAUUUGGAAUAAGUACCUCAUAUCGUUGAUGUGCGUAUUCUUCGAAUGUUGCAAUGUAUUGUGAAUAAGCGUUUGUAAGUCCUGCUAUUACGAUGUGGGUGUCAUUAUCAAAUUCCCCAUUUCCAUUAUUUAUUAGAGUGUCCUUAACUGCUUCCCGUAAUCUUCGACCCGCCAUUGUUGUAAACUCUGCACUUUCAAAUAGUUAAAUCUUGCCCCACAACAGAAUAUUAAUCACAGUUUCUUUGAAGCUAAACUAUACUUGUUAUUAAAAGAAAAAGUUUAACCCAUUUACUAAAAGCAAAGCUAUACAUACACCAUUUUGAUAAAUAGAGAAGGAAUUUGCGUAUAACUGAGCUAACCUCCCGGUACAGAAAGUAUGAUAAGCUUUCCCAACCUCAGAAUUUGAAUUGGGAGAACCGCUGGCUGCAUUGAUAUCAGAAAUAUGAUUAUCAGAAAAUGUUCUUUUAAGCUGCCAAAUUGCUGUCUAAUAACUUUAUUUUCUUUUGGCUCGGAGUUUCCAAGAUUAGCAAAUUCAUGCACAAGAAAAAUUCAGCACGUUACCGCCCAUGCAUAAGGUUCAAACAUUUCGCCGGAGGAUAGCAGAACAGCCUUUGGCUUUUGACAUUCCUCCUGAUACUGGCUUGGCUUUUUCAAUACGUCCCUCAACUGUUUCCACAGUUUAUUGAUCUAAAAACAUUAAAUAACGAGACAAAAAAAUCACGGGUUUAAAUACCUUGUUCAUUUAACCAAAAAGAAAAAGAUCUAUUGACAAUCAAAUGCCUGAAUCGGUGAGCCCUGACCUCUGUAUCACCUUGUUGAAAACCAAACACACCAGGUCCAUCUGUAGUUCCGGCGGCGAACCCUGGGCCUAGGGCUGCAGGGCAAGUCUUGACUGUGUUGUUUCCUGUUCCAUCCAAUACAACCUCAAUAUUUGUGAAGUUUAUGUAGACAUGACGAUAAUCAAUCUUUCCGCUCAAUUGAUCGGUUGCAGAAUUGAAUAAAUCAACAGCCUUUUGGAAUUGCCUUUCUCCUAUUAUCUUUGUGCUUAAUAUUUCGUCUGGAUACCUGUUAAAAUAGUUACAGAUUAGUUUAACAUGUUGAGCAAAAAAUUCAUUAGUUUCUUUGAAUGAAUUGAUAUAUUAGUACCCAGGUCCACGGCCUAUGCAGAGCUGGUCAUCGCCAUGACAUGAUGAGUGAUUGAAGUCACAAGGCUUUCCACUAUCAAUGCAAAAUGCUCCUAGCACAUUUGGGGUCACAUCUCCAACAUUUGAUUGGCAAAACGCUCCCACAAAUAGCGAUCCAUCGUUCUUCCUCACUUUGAAUCCUUGGCUUGUUGUUUUUCCACAUUGCUGUCCUCCAGUGGCCUUGAUUGUUUUCGAUUUCUCCAUCAAUUUGCCAAUAUCUAUUUCAAAUGAAUACUGCACAUGAGUUAAAUCUCGCAGUGAUCAUGGAAUCCUAAUUUGAACAAAAAUGAAAUCAAGAUUUUUCUUGCAACAUGGACAUCUAUUCAUCUAGUUGGAAGCUGCCGUUUCAGCUACAAAUUUUGAAUGCCCAAGGUGUUUGAUAUGUAUUGUUAACAAUAACCGAAUGGGUUAAAAGUUACAGCACCCUAUCCCGACCCGAACGGCUCUUCUGUGUUAAAACAACUUACCCGAUGAGGUAGAAAACUUACUGGUUGUUGUGGAGGAAGAUUCGUUUUUGGAACUGAACCAGUCUUCAAAGAACCUGGCAGCAGCGCCCUUGUUGUCUCCGCUGAUGAGCAAAUUGUCUCUGGACAUAGAGGUGCCGUGUGUAGCAUACCAAUUGAAGGCUCCUAUGCUCUUCCCGCUUGCUGCAUCAACAAAUUUCAGAAGGGUCAUUUCUUUGUCAACGUUUUCUGGGUAUCGAGCCCUCUCCUCCGCUGGAUUAAGCAGAUAUGCACUUGGACUCCUGUUUAUUCCAGCAUUUUCUACGUCCCCUGAAGCAUAAACAAGACAAAUGACAUGGAAAUCAUUUUGUUAAUUUGCUUAAGGAUAUCGAUUCAAUGCAUGCGCAAACAGCUUCAAAACUGAACACGGACCUUUUCUAAUGAAAAUUGAACCAGGCUUUAAAUUGUUGUGAGCCUGAACAAUGCUCUGGACAAUUGCGGUGACAAUGGCAUCAAACGAUUGUUGGACAAAUCCUAGAGACGUGAUAGAGUAAAUCAAGUACUGCAAGUAACCCCCAGGUCCGGCAUGAGUAUGGAUUCCACUGAUUGCUAUGUUCUCUUCAGUAUACAAAUUUCCAAACCUUCGAAACGAGUAACAUUAUAUGAGAUCACCAAUUAAGCAAAUUCUGACAUCUUAAGGUGCUUUUUAAGUUUCGCUUGGCUUAUUUACUGUACCUUGUUUUAAGUUUCUCUAGCACUUUAGUAGUAACAAGUUGUGAAGCCAUGCCGGCAUCAAGAUUCACAAAAGCAAAUCUUGUUCCGUUGGAACUCUCGGCCACAAUGAAAGUUCUAGCUCUAAGACGGAAAUGAAUCCCUGCAGUAUUUUGGAAAAGAUUGGCAUAACCCAUCAUGUUUAUUCCAGCAGCGGGACCUGUCAUGUCAUAGCUCCCUACUCCGACCAAAUACUGACCAUCUGCACUUCUUAUUAGAGCAAAACCAAAAACGAUAGCAAUAAUAAGUGACAGAAAAUACAAGUGUUGGUUUAUUUUGCUAACCAUAAUUUCUUUGUGGGACCUGGAUUGUAAAAUCCGGUAGUCAUGAAGUUGUUGUAUAUAAAGAUACGGAGUAUGGAAUUUCUUGGACUUGUUGACACAAAACGUUUCUUAGUAUGUCGUGAUUAGAUUCUUCGUCUUAUUGUCAACGCCUCACUUGAAAAAUAGAUUGUUCGCUUACUUUGUCUAAGAUGUCCCGAGGUUGAGUUGGCACCAAAGAAUCUCUUCUUGGGUUGCUCCGCACGCGGAGAGUGACGAGGCCCGUUCUUGUCUAUCAUCGGGUAUUUAUUAUUCUGUUUACAUGCUUUAUCUGAAUCAUAUAAUAUGAUCAUAGUGCUUUACAUUCAAUUCAAUGUUUUAUUGCUAAUGUACAAAAUUGAUGGGUUUCGCAAUUAAGUAAUAUGCUAUUGGAUCAUCUCAAUAGCGAAUUAAUGGACAUGGGACUAGUCCAGAUUCCAAUUUGUACUCCUUAAUGGGUCUCGUUAUCUAGUGCCAACAUACUAUUACUUCUUCUCAGCAUGCAUCAAAAAACUAAUAAAUUCUGUCGUGUAUUUAUUUGGGUUGAAAUCUGCCAAAUAAUUACAGCCGGUUCCUUCUAAAAAAAAAAAAAAAGAAAGCUGGUUGCUAUAUAUAUUAAGUGAAUAAAUAUUGUCAUCAUCUACCCGUUGAUUGUAUCACCUUCUUCCUACAAUUAUAGACUUUUUGAACGCAAUGACUUAGAACUAGAGCUGGCAAAAUUUGACACGACCCGAUUACCCGACACGAACACGACAUAAAUAAAUGGGUAUGGGUCAUCAAAUUUAACACGAUUAUUAAAUGAGUUGGGUCCGGGUCAACACGAUUUUUUUCCGUGUCGGGUUUGGGUUAAAAUUCUUGACCCAUUUACCCGAUCAAUGACCCGAUUAUAUUUUCUAUUUUAAAAUAAUUUACAUAUUCUUAUAAUUAAAACUCAAAUAUUAGAGAUGAUUUUCUUUUUUUUUAUUCUUUAAAAGGGUGAAUAUAAACACAAUGUUUUAUUUAUAAAAUUUUACAUACAUUUAGAGCUUCAAUAGUGUAAAUGUGUAAAAAUUGAUAGACAUGUAUAUUUUAUAAUAUUGAUAUAUAAUAUUAUUGAUAUAUAAUAUUAUAUAUAUAUAAUUAAAACCUCAAUAGUAUACAUGUGUAAUAUAUUGGUAGAUAUGUAUAUUUUAUAAUAUCGAUAAAUUAUGUAUGUAUGUAUUUAUGUACAUACGUAUGUAUGAUAGUGUGUAAAUAUUUGAUGUAACUUUUGUUCAAUAUAUAAAUAUUAAACGGGUUAUUGGGUAAUCCGAUUAUUUUUUCGUGUCGGGUUUGAGUCUCAAUAUUUUGACAUGAUUAUUAAAUAGGUCGGGUUUGGGUCGACCUAAAUUUGACACGACACAAAACUGACACGACACGAACACGACUCGAUGAUCCAUUUUGCCAGCUCUACUUAGAACCACCCAACUCGCGUUAAUCAUUUAGUCAUGGACAAUUACAUGGGUUUAAUUUAAAACCGAUUGGGCGAUAAUUUGUUACCUAAUGUCAGAAAUAGCAAAACGACAAGGAAUUAGACCUCAAAAAAGAAAAAGAAAAAGAAAAAUCAUAUAUCGUCCGCACAAAACUUAAGAAAGAAGUUUUUGGGGACAGCUCACGAUUUGGACUUAUAACUUCUGUUCUUCUCAUUUAAAUAUGCAGAUGAAAUGAUAGAUGAAUCGUCUUUUCAAAAUUAGAGCCUGAUUCAAAUUAUUCCACUUAUAACGAAGACGCUAGAGAUCUAAAGAGUUACACGUCCAGAGUCUGCAUGGACCCGCUAUUACACCUGGCCAUAUUCAUCGUUCAUCAGUCGAGUGGCCUUUCAAUUAAGAUUCUCAAAAAUUUAAGGCCGUCUAUUUAUUUUCACUUCAUAACUGUGUCACUCAUUUAAUAAAAUUUAAUAUUUUCUCUCUAUAAUUUUUAACAUAAUUUUACAAAAUCAAUAGUUUUACAUGCUUAAUUUUUUAAUCAAUUUUAUUUUUAAAUAUAAAUAAAUGAUAUUUAAGAUAAGAAAAUAUAAGACAAAUCUAUUGAUUAAGAUAUAUAAACAAUAUAAGAUAAUUAAUUAUGUCAAAAAUAAAUAAUCAUAUUUGAAAUUCAAAACUUAAUUCUAGUACAGUGAUUAAUAAGAUUAACAUGAACCAACUUAUCCAGUAAUUGUAUAAAUUUAAUCAUCAAAACUCAGAUCUAUGAAUCGUGUCAGAUUUUGCAACGUCAGACUUAUGAGUAUUCUGGGCUCUUCCCAGGGUCCACGUCUACAAAGGUCCACAAUUUACGUGCAUGAUGUCGACUUAUCCGCAAUCAGUGUUUUUCAUAACUUUAAUAUAGAUGACUGCUGUACCGUACAUCCGCCUUGGCCGUACAGCAGUUUAUAGCAAUCAAAGCAUCAUUACAAUUUACAAGCACGCAGGUGGUACCCAGCGUUCACACCAAAGUUUACCAAAACUCAUACAGCAAUGAAACUAUUUCACGUUAUUCAUCCAAGUACAUAAACAGCACUUAUACAUUAAGCAUAAAAUCAAAUGGUAAUAAAGGCAAAUUUAAAAAAAAAAAAAAAAGCAUUACAAAGGAGAAAGAACUGAACAAACCACACAAACAGGAGACCGGCAAAAACAGUAAUUGUAUCAAACACAUUACAAAUUUAAUCUUCUUAAUUAAUGGGCAGCAGUUUCUUUGUCCUUAUCCUUUUCGUCCUCAGACUUUGGGUGGUAGCCAGGGAGCUUCUCCUUGAGUUUCUCCAAUAUGCCCUUCUUCUCCUUGGCCUCUGCCUCAGGAGCCUCGACUGAUGUGGGGUGCUCAGCAGCAGGAGGAGAAGGGACCUGAUGAUCUUCAGGUUUCUUUUGCUGUCCUGGUAGUUUCUCCUUGAUCUUGUUGAGAAAUCCUUUCUUUUCUUCAGGAUGGGCUUCUUCCUGGUGGUGGGGAGCAUGGACAUCAUCAAGUUUCUCGACAGGGACUGUCGUGUCCUCUUCUUUCUCACCUGAUAUUUUCUCCUUGAGCUUCUCCUUCAGUCCCUUCUUUUCCUUCUUCUUCUUCUUCUUUUCCUCAUCAUCGCCCUCCUCCUCAUCGCUUGACUGCACACACACACACACACACACACACCAAAAAAACAAUUUAAAAUACGAUACUUAGGAUCAUUCGUUCAGAUUGUUUUUAUUUUUUUAUCAUAAAUUAAGAUGAUUAACAAAUGAAGAAACAGAAACUUACAGAGCUAGAGCUGCUGGUGGAUCGGUGAAGUUUGUCUAAGAAACCGGGCUUCUUCUCUUCCUCUUUCUCCUCCUUCCUGUGUUCCUCUACCUUUGGCUGAGGCUCAGAGACAUGAACUUUCUCAAACUCGGUGGCGAUCACCUCCUGAUCGUGAUGUUGAGGUUUCUCCUCUUCUUUCUUCCCCAAGAAAUCAAGCAUCCCGCGAUCCUUGGUCUCCACUGCACCUUCCGUCCCAACACUCGGCUCGUACUCAUGGCUCUUCUGCUGCUUCUUGAUCUCUUCAGCCAUACUUGUCAAUUAUCACUCACAAACAACAAUUUUUAACAACAGAUCAACGGACAAGAACACAGAGAUAUGUGGUAUGUGCAAUAAAGUAAGUUUUCGAGCUUCUUUAAGGAAUUUUUGCUUACUUAAGACACAGAGUACGUGUGCUUUUAUAGUGUCACACCACGCGGAUCUGACGCGAUUAAGAGAAUAUAAAAGCCCAUUUGGAUUAGCCAAUCACAACUAGCUCCAGUGACCGACGUGUACCUUAAGACAAAGCAGAAAACAACCAAUCCACUCUCUCGAAUAACUUAAAAACCAUUACUCGCUUUCUCUUAUUGACAGCUGUCUAUCGCUGAACGUGUCGAAUCCUUAAGGCGAGUGGAGGGGCUUGAAAAGAGGAGAACGGCGAUUUAACGGACAAAAGAAGAAAGUAGAAAAAUGGAGAGGGAGACACGCUGUACCGUAAUGGUGGUGCUGGGAUACGACCGAAAGAAGAGGUGCCACGUGUAAGAAGAACGUGAAUGGUUGUCCUCGGUGGGACCCGAAAGUGUCGGUCUUUGAGAGGAUAAAUUAGCGAAAGGUCGGUGUGGAGGCCCAGCUAAUACUUUCAGGUGGGGGCCACGUGGCAGUUGCGUCUAUGUGAAGAAGUGUGGGAGUUUCGAGAUUUGCGCGACUGCUUACUGGUUGGUGUUCUACUUUCCUGCGCAAAUUCAUUUUAUAACUGGGCUGAGUUAAGUUGAUGCUUUCAAACGUUGCACCUUACCAAGGAGCGUUUGCUUUGGGGUUGCUUGCGGACAUUUGGCCGGUUAAGAUGUCGCUAAUUCCUUUCUAAAGUAGAAAAAAUUAUUUUCACAAUAGUACCAUUUUGUGUGGCCUUUUGUGCCCGUAUUUGAACGCUAGCACGUGACUGGUUCUAAUUGUCUGCUACUGUGAAACUAGGUAAAUCAUUCAUUUUAUAUUGGGGAAUAAACUUAAUCAUCUAGUAGAUAGCGAAUGUCAUUAGUAGCCAAUUCGUAAUGAGCUACGUAAAGGCAGGCGGGUGUGAGUUUCUCAUUUAUUUUUCUUUAGUGUAUGGGGUAACUGUCAGAGCCAGAGGGAGCUUUAUUCAUAUUCGACAAAAGUAUUCUGACACUGUUGAAGAGUCGUUCCCUACUUCCCUUACUCCCCCACUGAAGGAGGGCCACGGAAUUACACCGCCCACAUCCCAAGUUCUGACGAACUACUCUUGAGACAUGGGGAAGUUUGGGUUAGACUAGUUAUGUCUAAAGCCCAUUUUGUGCCUAGUUUAGUAUCAUGGUUUUCGGAGUUGGGUUUGCAUUCGUUUUCAAGUCUGUUUGUACUUGCGUUGGCGGAGACAUUUUAGGGGGGAGAAGAGUUUCUGUUAUGCAUGCAAUUCAAGGGGGGGUUUUGAACGAAUAAAGUUAAGAGGAUACAAAGGAAUUUUGAAAGUGGAAACCUCACUUGAGGAGAUUAUUAGGAUGGUCAAAUUGAAAGCAGCUUCAUUUCAUGACUUACAGUUACAACAAUGAUGUAGUUAAUUAAAAAGACAAAUACUUGCAAUGAAAUCAAAUCACGUUCAAAAUUCAAAUCCAAUAUCUCUAGUCCUGUGAAUCUGCAAGUAUCCACAAAAUUGAAUUUUGGCUUUCUCCAUCUUAAAUUUAAUGAAUCAAGAGAGGAAAAAAUGUGGGAAGCUAGAGAGUCAACUACUUCUACCUAUUUCUCAAAGCAAAUGAAAAAUCUUAUCUUUUCCGUGCCCAGAGUCUUUUCAAACCCCGUCAUUUAGGCUGAAUCUAGUUGCUUUAAUUCUUGUAAUAAGAGACUCCGUAGCAUUACAUACACCUCUCCUCGCAACCAACUUCACCCUGAAGUUAUCAUGUAACAUUUUCAUCCUGUUACCAUCACCAUCUAACUCACGCAGCUGAACGGCCUGCUUCCUUGUUACCAAACCAUAGAGACAGAGAUGACCAGAAUCAAAAUUUUCACCUUGGAAUUUGACCCUUAACAAGGCAUCAGAUUCUAGAUCAAUAGACUUUGGAUCAAACAACGCAGAGAAGCUCCCAAACGUCAGGUCAGGGGUCUCAAACAACUUAUCCAAAUUACCAUUGUCCUCACUCUCAUUAUAUGCUUUAUUAGUUAGAGCCAAUGACCUCCUUUUGGCCACUCUAAGUAUGCUAGCAGCCUCUCUCAUCCCACUUAAAAAGGCUCCAUGCAUUGUCGCCGGAUAUUGUUUAUUAGUUGCUUCCCCUGCAAAGAAAACUCUCCCAUCCCCUACAGUCUCCGCAAGAAUAUCAUAAUCAUCACCCGAAGAACCAACGGCAACAUAAGAGUAAGACCCAUAUGAGAAUCGAUCCUUCCCCCAACGAGUACAGAUUGCCUGAACUGGAUCUGGAACAACAAUUCCUUUUGGAUGGUAAAUACCUCUCAGUAUCUCUAAUACUUUAUUCACAGACUCUACCGGUGACAUUUCCUCAAACUUAAUCGCAGCAUCCCCAGCAACAAGAGCCACGAGAAGUGGACCUCCUGAUACAGAAGAAUAGCUAUAAAAUAAAAAGAACUCACCUCUCAUACUUGAAUCUUCUGUCAAAUGCCCAAAUGUAUCAAUCUCUCCACCCCAAAAAUUAUGUGGAAACAACAUUGCAACUUUAUUAAGCAAUCCAUAUCCUAAUCUCUGAAUUGCAUCUUUCUUCCGCUGAGGAAGCUCAGGUACAAACUCAAUUGUUCCCUUCUUAAGCACACCUAAUGGUACUGUACAAAGAACCAUGUCCCCGCGAAACUCCUGCCCACCAGCAUAAACCAUAACCCCAUCAACACCGUAUCUAAUACUCUGCACAGUCCGUUGAUAAAAUAUUGGAAGAUCCUCAGCAAGUGCUCUAACAAACCAUUCAUUGCCUCCAGGAAUAAAGCAAUGAUCACCACCCAUCUCAUAUGGAUCAUCCUGAUCCCAAUAAGCCAUUGACAAAUUAGACAUCAAGGAAGCAUUUGCAUACUCCAAAUUUGCUAAAUGCCAAUUCAAGAGCAUUCUCUCUUGCAAAUCCUCAGCAACUUUAUAAACAUUUCUAAAAGCUUCAAGUGCAACGCCUAAUGGAACAUCUACAGAUUUAAAUUCCUCAAUCAUAUCAUGUCUAAGCUUGCAAACUCUAUCCAACAAUUUAUUAAACGAUACCUCUACUCCAGAAUCAAUAUCAGCAUCAAUUGCUUUACCAUUAGGUAAAUACAAAGGACAAAUAUCUCUCACCUUAUGAAGUGGCAAUUCUAACUGUCUAGCAAGAACACCAAGAGGGUUCCCAUUUAUUCCAGUGAGGACGCUCCCACCAACAUCAGCUGCAGCCACCACUCCAUCACACUUCAUCUUGCGUGUCUUGACACGUCCACCGGGACGUUCCCUGCCUUCCAAAACGACUACUUUAAACCCCAUUGAAAUCAACUGUCUCGCCGCAACUAACCCCGCAAGACCAGCACCUACGAUCACCACAUUACCCCUCUCCACUCUACCAAAUGACCCCAAUUUCACUUCUUUAAUAGGCGGCGCUAGCCCGAAAUUGAUGUACCCAUGUUCUAGUAAAAAAUCAUACGCUGAGUCAACUAGGGUUUUGUGCUCGGAACGAAUUGACUCGAGCGCCUGCUCACGCGUCAACCAGACAGAAACAUUCGAUCUCCAGAGUGAUAGAAUGUGAUUUCUCACGACAAUGUAAUUAGCUUGCUCGGUACCUCCAAUUUUGGAAACUACAUUCGCUUCGAUUUCUUCUUCAGUAAGUGAAUCAACUGGAAAACCAACUGAGAUUGCAAUUAGGGCUUCGGUGUCGACUUCUUUAGCAAGGCAGGAGAAUCUGGGGCGUCGGUUCCUCGCCAAGGAUGGAUUGCCGUUGAUUUCGGUGAAGAAGCGCUUUCUACGGCGUCGUUUCCUCGGGGGCGGGCCCGGCUCGGAAGGGUUAGGGUUUUGGGGCUGUUGGUCUUCUGGAAUUGGAUCAGAAGAGUCGUCUAGCGAGUCCGAAACGGGAGCCUCGAGUGCAGUAUUUGUUUCCGUGGCGUUCUGGAGCUCAUCAGUUUCCGCCUGGGUUUCGAUUUGACUGGGAGAGAGCGUUGCAUCGGUCUCCGGCGAAGACUCGUCGGAAACGACAUCGUCGUUUGCGUUAUCGGAGGGUUCUUGCGGUGUUUCCAUUUUGGGUUUAUCAUAAAGUCCUUCGGCUUAAAAAAUUGCCCGAAAAGACUAUAACCCCAAGUAAAAGAGUGCGCUAAUUUUUGUAAGGGAGUUUGCUGUUUUUUGCUUUUUUGAGUCACGAUUGGGUUAGGGCCUUAAAACGUAGCCCAAUUCUGACGAGCCAAGUUCAACCCGUCAAAGCUGCCGGCUCUGUUUUAAAAAGCAAGCUUAAUUAAACAAGGUUUAAAAUUUAAAAAGGCUAUAAAUUUUGAGAUUCAACAAACUUAAAAGAAAAAGGACAAAAUUAUCGUGGGAGAGGGUGCACGCAAAUGAAGCCAGUGCCUAAACCAAUUGAACGGUGAUGCUCUCUCUUCUGUCCUUGUAUCAGUGCAUCGUUCAAUUCGUCUUUUGGCUCUGCGAAAUCUCCACUCGCAAACGAUUCGUAAAGCAAAUUCUUGACUGACAAACAAAGGUGAAGGCAGCGAUGAUAACGCGAUCAAAUCUGGCAGAACAAUUGAGGGAAUAUCAAAAUCGAUCGAAGCACGAAUGGGCCUCUGUCUCUUUCUUCUCUUCCACUUCUAAUAUCUCUUCUUCUAGGUAUUUUAAUUUUCCUCUUAAUUUGGCAUUUAUUUUAUAAUUUUACGGCUAUGAACAUUUGCUUUGAUAUUUUCUUUGUCGUUUGAUUGUGCGAUUAAAUUAUCGUUGUUUUAAUUCAAACACUUGUUACAAAUUUAGCAUUUAGCUGGAUUGAUUGAUUUAGAGAAUUUUCAUUAGUUUUAAUUCGAAUCCUUAAAUGUAGGUUAGCCAAAAAGUUGGUAAUAAAUAAUUUUUUGAUGCUAAAAAAAAGGUAAAUUAUUGGAUUGCUUAUUCCACGCAAUGGUUAUGGUUAACAUAUGAAAGUGCAAGAAAUCUGUUGGUGCAAAACUUGAUGUGGUGUUUGUGAUGCGAUUAGAUAAAUUCCGUGCUUUCUAAUUUGUGCAAUCUUAAGAUGCCUUUUCACAGUGCCACUUAAAAUAAUGUAUUCAUAUUUUCAAAUUCCCUUUAGUUUUUGUGACUUCCAACUAUAACUUUUGAAUUCUUUGCUGUGUGAUAAGAUUUUGAAAGAAAAUAGUUUUUGCCUGAUUUUUUCUUGCUGCCUCAAAAAUGGCAUUUAAUUAUGGCUGAGGAAAUGAUGAUUGUAUGGAUGUGUGGAGGUAAAGAGAAGAUAAGAAUAUAUCUAGAAAAUGAGGCAAAUUUAAGAAUAUUCUCUGUGGGUGAUUGGUCAAUGGUUAGGGAUUUGAGGAGGCGACAGUGGGAUAAAGAGGUUGAACUUUUGUUUUAGUUCGAAAUGAUUUUACUGCUGAUAACCGUUGAACUAGCACGGAUCAGGUGUUUAUUUCUUGCUUUUGUUAGGUCAAGCUUCUGCCACAUAAAAUAGGAUAUGUUGUUUUAUUUCAGAGGAUUGAAAUUGUAUUGUGAAGGGGUGUGAGUAAUCAUUGGCUUUAUAUCACGUUGGUAACUAUAUGGGCAUGCUCGAUUUUAUUUCUGUUCAAAUAUAUUUUUUUCAUCUCAUCUACAGCUUUGUUUAGGGAGCUCUAAUUUAAACUUUGCAUUUAUUGUUUUCGCUUUGGUGUUUCUUGGUAAGAACGCUUAUAAUAGUGGUUGUGUCUUUUUCCCCGCUUGCUGUGGAUGCAGGGUGGACGUUGUGAUAUUCGUAAUAUGGGAACUCGUCAUUCUGGCUUUCCUGGUCUUUUCAGCAGUUUCAUUAUACUUUAGGCAUAUGCGACUGGCUAUUAUCUUAGUAAGCAUCACAAUGCUACUGCUUUUAUGCAUGAAAGUUACAAAACAAGUGAGAUUGGCUAGGAAGAAGAAACGAAGGAUGCUUCUUCCAUUGUCUAUGUAGAACAAUACAAGUUGAAAAGUUUUUUCAAGUACCCAACUUUUGUUCUGUAAAUCAUGAAAGUUAUUGGUCCGUGCAUUUGGUCUGAGCUUGCAUUGGUUUAUUUGAUUGUGUUGUUGCACCCAGAGCACAUUGAUUGAAGAAUGACUGACAUGAUCACUUCAACAGUUGGUUAUCAAAGUAAUGUGCAUUUAUCACUCAAAAUGUAAAGUUGGGAUGUCUCAUAAAUGAAGACGGUCUGUAGAAGAUGUCUUUCUCACUAGUACAUUACCAUAUAAACAGUGGCUUUGAGAAAUCUGUCAAAAUUUGAUUAUUUAUGAAAUUGCCAAAAGAUGAUUUUCCUUUUUGUGAUAUCUUAUAAUUUAUGAGUUGCUGAAUGGAUUGUCUUGAGUUCAUUUUGCCAUAAGUAAUAAAAUUGGAUAUAUUUUGGUCACAUUUCUUGUUUCUGAAGCAAGGAAAUAUUAGGAGAUAACGUCAGGAAAUGGAGUGGUCGUUUGCUAAUUUGUUGCUUCGAUCAUAACUGUAGGCUGAACUUCACUGGGGACUUUAGUAAUCAACUAAAGUCCCAGAGCAAGCAUGUUCCCUCUGGCUGUUGCUUCUAUUGAGUAGGGAUGGCAAAAAUUCCCACAGGGACGGGUAUUUUCGGGGAUUUUCCCCAUUCGGGGAGGGUAUGUGGAUAAUUUCAUACCCAACAGCUUAUUCGGGGAAGGGAUGAAGAAAUUUUUUACCCAAUUUCUUAUUCGGGGAGGGGACGGGGAUGAGGUGGAAUCCCCAUCUCCUACCCAUUUUUCCGUUUUAAUUUUUAAUUUAAUUUUUAUUUUUUAAAUUAUUAGUAAAUAAAUAAUAAAAUUUGAAUUUUAAAAUUAUAAGUAUUGGUAAAAAUAAAAAAUAUCAAAAUAUUCAUAUUAUUAAACUUUUAGGCCUAAUUAAUUAAUUAAAGUUCUAAAUUUUUAUUUAGGACAUUAAAAAGACCGGACAGAUUCUAUUAGUCCAAAAUUUUUGUUUUAAUUUUAAUAUUCAUUAAAUAUUUUAAACUUAAAUUUAUUUUUUAUUUAUCUUAAAUCUAUUUUUAUUUAUUUUUAGAUGUUAUAAUUGCUCACAGCAAAUCACAAUUUUAAUAUAUAAUCUAAUAUAAUAUUUGCUCUUGAUUUGCUUCGACUUAACUAUUGUGCUAUAAAAUGAAUAGUCCACAUUUAUAAAGUGCCAAUGCCACCAUUGAAAAGUUAAUUUUGAAUAUAAAUUUGAUUUUAUUUGUAACAAUUUUGUAUUAGGCUAUUAAUUUAUUCAUGAUAGUUUGUAUCCCUUACAUGCUGAGUUACUUACUAAUUUAAUGUAUGUGACUUUUGUAAUGGAUAUUAAUGUAAGAUAUAUUUUGAACUUUAUUUUUAUUUGAAUUUUUUAUUUUAAUAUGAUUAACUUAAAAUCGAAAACAAACAAAAUGUAUUAGUUAUUCGGGGAUCUCCUGUUAUUAUUCGGGGAGGUGAUGAUGAUUCUCUUAAAUAAUUUUGACGGGAAUGGGGAGGGAACGAGGACAUACGCAAAAUAUCGGGAAUGAAUACGGGGAGAUUGGUCCCCUCCCCUCCCCUCCCCAUUGCCAUCCCUACUAUUGAGCCUUGAAGAAGUGAAAUUCAAUUCCCAUGGUAGCUAAACUCCAUGUUGCUCCAAUAACCGCUAGAAUGCUGAGAACCAUUCCUAAAAUUCCUAAUGCCCAAUUGAGACCCCAAAUUGCACUAUAUGUGGUGGGCUUUCUAAUGUGGAUCCACAUGAAGCAUGGAUACGCUAAGGUUAUGGGUAAUGCAAUCCCUCCAAUCAACGCAGCCAAGUUGCGCAAGAAUGGAAGUGCCGCUGAUAUAAAGAAUUCGACGCUUCCAAAGAAGACUCUAAUACCCGAGCGGAGCCACCAUGGACAUGGUUUGUUAUAUUUGCUAGUAUAUUUGAAUUCCAAAUUAUCAAACACCGGCAUAGCAAAAAUCUGAAAUGAGCUGAGACUGCUAAUCACAACAAAUAAGCUUGUCAAUCCCAGAAGCACUUUUGAUGUGUCAUGAUUAUGGUAUUUGUGCAAGGCAUCAAACAUCCCUUCAUUUCCAGGCAUCUGGCAGUAAGCAUCAUAUAUAUCAUUAGCCUUAAAGAAACAAAAGAAAAGUAAACAGAGACAACAGAGACGGUAUUGGCUUUGCUCUCACCAAAUUUCCAUAUGCGGAAUAGCCGCCUAUUGCAAGAGGAAACAAACACAUC